UACGAAGGGGGCUAGCGUUGCUCGGAAUCACUGGGCGUAAAGCGCACGUAGGCGGAUUGUUAAGUCAGGGGUGAAAUCCUGGAGCUCAACUCCAGAACUGCCUUUGAUACUGACGGUCUUGAGUCCGGGAGAGGUGAGUGGAACUCCGAGUGUAGAGGUGAAAUUCGUAGAUAUUCGGAAGAACACCAGUGGCGAAGGCGGCUCACUGGCCCGAUACUGACGCUGAGGUGCGAAAGCGUGGGGAGCAAACAGGG
rnacentral:rRNA from 1 species